UACGAACUGUGCAAACGUUAUUCGGAAUCACUGGGCUUACAGGGUGCGUAGGCGGCCUGACAAGUAGGGUGUGAAAGCCCCCGGCUCAACCGGGGAAUGGCGCCCUAAACUGUCGGGCUGGAGUGAGAUAGGGGUGUGCGGAACUUCCGGUGGAGCGGUGAAAUGUGUUGAUAUCGGAAGGAACGCCGGUGGCGAAAGCGGCACACUGGAUCUCAACUGACGCUGAAGCACGAAAGCCAGGGGAGCGAACGGG
rnacentral:rRNA from 1 species